rnacentral:rRNA from 1 species
GGGUUGUGAGGUUAAGCGACUAAGCGUACACGGUGGAUGCCCUGGCAGUCAGAGGCGAUGAAGGACGUGCUAAUCUGCGAUAAGCGUCGGUAAGGUGAUAUGAACCGUUAUAACCGGCGAUUUCCGAAUGGGGAAACCCAGUGUGAUUCGUCACACUAUCAUUAACUGAAUCCAUAGGUUAAUGAGGCGAACCGGGGGAACUGAAACAUCUAAGUACCCCGAGGAAAAGAAAUCAACCGAGAUUCCCCCAGUAGCGGCGAGCGGACGGGGAGCAGCCCAGAGCCUGAAUCAGUGUGUGUGUUAGUGGAAGCGUCUGGAAAGGCGUGCGAUACAGGGUGACAGCCCCGUACACAAAAAUGCACAUAUUGUGAGCUUGAUGAGUAGGGCGGGACACGUGGUAUCCUGUCUGAAUAUGGGGGGACCAUCCUCCAAGGCUAAAUACUCCUGACUGACCGAUAGUGAACCAGUACCGUGAGGGAAAGGCGAAAAGAACCCCGGCGAGGGGAGUGAAAAAGAACCUGAAACCGUGUACGUACAAGCAGUGGGAGCACGCUUAGGCGUGUGACUGCGUACCUUUUGUAUAAUGGGUCAGCGACUUAUAUUCUGUAGCAAGGUUAACCGAAUAGGGGAGCCGAAGGGAAACCGAGUCUUAACUGGGCGUUAAGUUGCAGGGUAUAGACCCGAAACCCGGUGAUCUAGCCAUGGGCAGGUUGAAGGUUGGGUAACACUAACUGGAGGACCGAACCGACUAAUGUUGAAAAAUUAGCGGAUGACUUGUGGCUGGGGGUGAAAGGCCAAUCAAACCGGGAGAUAGCUGGUUCUCCCCGAAAGCUAUUUAGGUAGCGCCUCGUGAAUUCAUCUCCGGGGGUAGAGCACUGUUUCGGCAAGGGGGUCAUCCCGACUUACCAACCCGAUGCAAACUGCGAAUACCGGAGAAUGUUAUCACGGGAGACACACGGCGGGUGCUAACGUCCGUCGUGAAGAGGGAAACAACCCAGACCGCCAGCUAAGGUCCCAAAGUCAUGGUUAAGUGGGAAACGAU